rnacentral:ncRNA from 1 species
CCCGCCGAAUUUAAGCAUAUAAUUCAGCGGAGGAAAAGAAAUCAAAUGAGAUUCCCUGAGUAACGGCGAGUGAAAAGGGAUGAGUCCGGCGCAAAGGUUUUCCAUUGAAAGGUGGAAAGCGGUGCUGCGUAAUGGCUAGAGUCACGAUUAUUUCAACUAAAUCUGCAAGUCCCUCUGACAAGGGCCCUCUUCCCAGAGACGGUUCUAGGCCGGUGGCAGAUCUUGGUUAAUGGAAUAUCGAUUACUGGCUUUAGUCGCGGAUAGAGUCAGAUUGCUUGAGAGUGCAAUCCAAAUUAGGAGGUAAACUCCUCCUAAGACUAAAUACGAUGGUAAUAUCGAUAGCAAACAAGUACCGUGAGGGAAAGUUGCAAAGUACUUUGAAGAGAGAGUUCAAAAGGACGUGAAACCGCUUGUAGAGAAACGGAUAGAACCACGAAGUGUAGCUGAGAGGAGAACUCAGCUCCUCUUGUGUAUUGUUGCCUUUUUCUAUUCAGUGCUAAGAAUGCUUUACAGCGUUCCAAGAUCAGUAGGUUAAGGGGUAACUUUUAGCCUGCCCUUGGAUCUUGGUAUUGAUAGGAGGAGUGCAAUAUGUGCAUGAGGAGUGCAUUUUCUCAACUCUCGUGCUCAAACCACGACCAAUGUGAAGGAGAGUGCAAAACUCUUGUUCAAGUGAUAACAGCAAGGUGUACUAAACACACACCUAAUCAGCAUUUAGUUUUCACAGCUACUAAUAUUCCUUGCGUUAUUAGACUUAGCCUGUGAGCUAGUGUUGGCAACUGUUACCACAGUCACAUUGGAGAUGAAUCUCUGCUUAUGCAGGGUCAACAAUGCUUGUCAUCUGCUCUGACGAAUCCGACUAGUCUUUCGUUGAUGAUGUCUGUUUCUUCACCUGGUGUUGAAACAACUCAUGGAUUGGCUGGCUUUUGGUGGUUUGUUGGUAAAAGUGGCAAGCUUACGUUAACCUAGUGAUUCUGUGGUCAGUAGAUCGGUACUCUAUCCGACCCGUCUUGAAACACGG